GCUAAUUUGAAAGUCAAGGCGAAGAAAAAAGUCGCUUACCACAAUAAAAACAAGCUUGAAGCGCAAAACAAUUGAUCCCCAAAGUAAAAACCGGUGUCGUGUUACCCUCUUUCCAAUAUUACUUUUAUAAAGUUUACAUCUACAUGGAGAAAUAAAAAGUUGGAGAAUUUUGGCUAACCUAUAACAAUGUUUCGCAUACCGGUUUCGAGUAAAUUGGUUCACCAAAAAGCCUGGGUACGGGCGAAUUCUUCGAGCAGUUUCAUAAGGAAUAGUUUUAUUGAUUAUUUUGUUAACAAUCAUGGGCAUAAGCACGUCAAGUCCAGUUCUGUGGUGCCUCUGUGUGACCCUUCAGUGCCCUUCGUUAAUGCUGGGAUGAACCAGUUUAAAGGAGUAUUUCUGGGUAGAGUAGAGCCACCGUGCCCGCGAGCUGUGAACUCACAGAAGUGUGUGCGUGUGGGGGGGAAGCACAACGACCUGGAUGUGGUGGGGGUUGAUGGUCACCAUCACACAUUCUUUGAGAUGCUCGGUAACUGGUCUUUUGGGGACUAUUACAAGAAAGAAGCUUGUCAAAUGGCCUGGGACCUGCUGCUGGGACCUUACAGGCUGAAACCUGAGAACUUACUAGUGACCUACUUCUCAGGGGAUGUUAUUCUCAAUCUCACUGAAGACAGGGAGUGCAGGGACAUUUGGAAGGAAAUUGGUGUACCAGCAAGCCACCUUAGGGCACAGAACGCAGCAGAUAACUUCUGGGAGAUGGGCGCGACGGGUCCGUGUGGUCCCUGCACCGAGAUACACCACAUCAACCCUGAUGGAAGCCUCACUGAGAUCUGGAAUAUUGUCUUUAUACAGUGCAACAGACAAUCUGACGGCUCCGUGACGGGUCUCCGUCGGCAGCACGUGGAUACCGGCAUGGGGCUGGAGCGCAUGGCGGCGCUGCUGCAGGCAGUGCCUUCCAACUACGACACCGACCUGUUCCGACCCAUCAUCAGUGCUAUCGAGAAGAACAGCGUUGGUGUCCCGGAGUACAGCAGUAGGUACGGCGCAGACGCAUCCCUGGACGCGGCGUAUCGGCGGCUGGCCGACCACGCGCGCAUGAUCAGCGUGUGCCUCGCCGACGGGGUCUUCCCGGCUAAUAGCCUAAACCUGAAACAGAUACUCCGAAAAUCCUUUAAGAUGUCGUCAGAAAUAUUCCAAAACAAGAACUUACUGUUCACACUAUACGACGAAGUCGCCGCAACCCUGGGAGCAGCUUACCCGGAGCUGAUUAGCAAGGAAAAGGACGCCAAGCUGAUCUUAGCUCACGAACAGGACUCGUAUGACCGGUUGAAGAGUAACAUGGCUAAGAAGUGGAAGGACUUGGUGAGGCAGUAUCCAGAGGUUGAAGCCUUUAGUGAUGUGGAGAUGGCUGGGUUCGCGCAAGGAUAUAAGGAGUUUAAAGAGACAAUGUCAAAACAAACGACGAACGUCAUGCCAGGAGAACUCGUCUUCAAACUGUACGACACGCACGGUUUCCAAGAAGACAUCAUAGAACGAAUAGCCAAACAGAACAACUUGGACAUCGACAAGAAAACGUUCUGGAAACUUCUCGCCCAACACAAGGCCAAACACAAGACUGCUCUUAAAGAACAAUCGUCCAACAAAGGUCUCCUAUUCGACAAAGCGAUAGAAAAACUCGUCAAGAAACGUUACAAGUCUACUAACGAUCUUCCGAAAUAUGAUUACGCUAAUAAAUCCGGCAAAAUCACCUUCCCAAGUUUAAGAACCAAACUUGUUGCUAUUCUCAACGAAGAUAUUACAUGGAUAGACUGCCUGGAUCCAGCUGAAAACAAACCUUAUUACCUAGUAACUGAAAGCACAAAUUUCUACUGCGAAGAAGGAGGACAGGCAUCCGAUAGCGGUGUUAUACGGCUAAAAGAAGGUGUGACAUUUAACGUGGACAAUGCAUUUAAAAUUAGAGACUUCGUAUUUCAUAAAGGUUAUUUCCAUAUUCAUCCAAAGUGUGUUAAACCUUACGUUUUGUGUGACGACGAAGUUGAAAUGUCAAUUGACAGUGAGAAAAGACUGAAUAUUAUGAAGAAUCAUACAGCAGUGCAUCUGUUGAACGCUGCUAUAAGGAAAGCGCUUCCGAAUAGUGUUGUGUGUCAAAUAGGUUCUAGUGUAACUGAUAAAGGACUCUCUUUAAAUUUGUCGGUUUACGGCGAGAAGCUGUCGCCGAAGGUUGUUAAGGAAGCUGAAGAAUUAGUUAGGAAAUCAAUAUCGUCGAACGUGUGGCUCGAGCUGCGCGUGUUGGACAGCGUGGGGCUGUCCCAGGAGCCCGACGUGGUGACCGUCCCCGGGGAGGCCUACCCCGAGACGGGGCUGCGGCUCGUCACUAUGUCUGGCCCACUGCCUUCACGCGAGCUAUGCUGCGGCACGCACGUCCCGUCAACGGGCGAGCUGGGAGACUUCCUCAUCACGCUGGUGAAGGGCGCCGGCGGCAACGCCCCCAAUAUACACGCGAUCACUGGCCACGCCGCCGCUGAGGCUCGAGAACAAUUCUGUCGCGCUGAGAAGCUACAGCAAGUAUUGGAGCUGGUCAGCCCUGAGCGCAAGGAUGAGGAGCUGAACUGCAUCAAGCAGCAGCUGGUCAGGAUAUGCGGCAGCAGCGGCGCGCCGCAAGGGGAGUACGCGCAGUGUCUGGCGCUGAUCGACAGCAUUAAGAAGACUGAAGUUAACAAAACCGAACUUGCUUUGCAGGCAGUAGCAGAAGAGGAAGUCAGGGAGGUCCUCGCCGAAGCGUCUCACUCGCGGCGGCGGUUCGUGGUGCACUUCCUGCGGUGCUCGUACCUCAUGCAGGCGGCCGACCUGCGCCGCGCGCUGCAGCCGCCGCCCGCCGCGCCCGCGCUCAUGCUGGGCUGCGCAGGGGGAACCAUCAUUGCUGCGUGCCAUGUGCCCCGGGAGCUGGUGACAGACUCGUUCACGGCGACGAGCUGGUUGACCUGCGUACUGCCAGUGUUCCAAGCACAGCUGGAGCCCACAGACUGCGCGACCUACGCGGAGAUGACCGCCACCAAGGUGAGCCUAAUAACGUGCGAGCAGAUGGUCCAGGACGCGAUGCGCGUGGCCAUCAAGUUCGCGCAGUCCCACGCCCAGCGCUGGGACUCCGGCGACUCCGGCGAGCCCAGCAAGGACCGCCGACAGAACUAGUCUGUAGCUUUAGUCUGUAUUUGUACCUUAUGAACAGCGAUCAGGAUGGGUAUUGCCAUUUGCGAGAUUUGUCAUAACAUGGAUAUGCCUCCCAAGUCUUUUAUUUUAUCUAUUUUUUUUGGACGUACAGCCAAGGAGCAAUAGUUCUAUCACUGAGUCCAGCGAAUUAUUUGUACAGAGUGGUGAAAUUAUGAACCAUUAAUUGUCAUAAUUAUAAAAUUUGUUUUUGUAGGGGUUUUAACGACAGGAGGUCUUAAUUGCAACCAGUUAAUUUAUUACUCUGCAAGAAACUGAUGUCCUUAGAAGAGGUUUAGUACGAACUACUCUGAACCGGCGUGCGUGUAUGUAACGAUUGAUGAGUGUGGAGGAAGCGAGAGAAAUUUGUCAGGAUCGAAGUAAAUAGAAUUCCAUAGACUUUGCUUCCUGUAUUUAUUUUUAUCGAGGCUUGAGCCACUCUUGACGGUUAUGCUAGCCUCAUAUUUUACAGCAUUUAAUGAUAAUCACUUUACAGUAGAUCAAUACUACAGAUCUACACCAUACCGUUGAGGGGUUGUAAUUCCUAACAGACACAGUAAAUCUCGAAACACAAUAUUAUAUUUUUUAUUAAACAUUUAUAUUUAUUUUGUGAAUUAUUUUGGUCAUUUGUUACGUAUUUGUUUUUUUUUAUUAUUAUUAUUUACCUUUGAUGGGUUUGCUCUUGACCCCAAACUUGCCCGAAGGUAUUGACGAAGCCGAAGAUGGAGCGAGCUCGCCCAAAAGGUGCUUGUUCACUAUGGCCUUGAAAGCACCCGGGUUAUAUGCAUUCGGAAAUACAGAAGACUGCAAAGAAUUCCAAUCAAUAGCAGUGCGCAUAAUGAAGGACGAUGCGAAGCGCUUUAUGCGAAUAGUUUAUUAUUCAUUAUUUGGUCUGGAUCGUAAAUUUUUUACAAUUAUAAUAUUACUAACUGUACUUAUGAUAUCACAAACAGUUUACUUUUAUUUAAUACAAGAAAAGGACAAUAUUAUUAUGUAACGUAAUCUCGAAAAUAUCGAAGUCAUAUCCAUGUUAACGACAACAUUCAGGGUUAUUGGCGCCAAAUGGGCCCCAAAUGACCUAUCCCUAUCACAACUUACGACCGUGACGCCAUUACGCUGUUUUCGCAGAAUGGCCCUUUCUCAUAAUGACCCCCCCCCCCCCCCCUGCUGGUCUAAAAACGUCACAUGGAAGCAAUUUAUCUGAAAAGCAAUAAUGCUAUUUGACAUUUGCGCAUACAUAUUUGUUUUGUUUUUAUUUUCCCCGAAAGGGCAAGGCAAAGGGAACUAUGCCCAUACAGCCAUGUCUCAUGUUCCGAUAUAAUAACACUAUUUGUUUUCCGACUAACUUGAGAUCAUUAACCACAAAACGCCACUUCGUAUUAAUUAUUUAGAUUAUUCAAUGAAAAAGCUAUGUCGGCAGGCAUUCACAUUCCCGCCAAAAAGCCUUGCGCAUACAUAACUAAGUGCGCAAUGCAAACAAAUAUCAAAUAGCAAUAUUGAAUUGUAGGUUAAUUGCUUCGAUGUGGCCUUUUUAACCAUCUUCUUUCUUCUUCGAAACUUCGAUGUGUAAUAAUAAUACAUUUUGUUCAUUGUAAUUUCAUCUACAUUUCACAAAUUUUGUCGUUGUAUACAAUCAGGUAAGAUUAAAGAUUGAUUUGAGAUCGAAUGAGGGGCUUUUCAGGCUACGUUCCCAAGAUGGCACUGUAAAAAAAAUCCUUCGUUUAACCUUGUAAUUUGAUGGAUAACAGACAUAUGCAUCUUUUAUCUUUGUUUUUGGGUAUAUAUUAUGACUCUUUACACCCAGGCAUAAUACAUCUUCCACCCGUUAUUGUUGUCAUCAAAAUAAAGAGAAGCAAUAUAGGUAGCAACCCCCAACUCACCUAAUAAAUCUGGAAGAAAUCUCUUUAAGUGAUAAGGCCGCUAUUUGCCAUGCACCUAGUCUUGUAACUAUUUUUUUGUAUUUUGAUGCAAUAAAGUAUAUUUGUAUUUAUAGUAACAUAAUUCUAUAUAUAAUUUGAUCGGAAUAUCAAACAACAAUAGCUUAUUUGAUCAUCACGAUGAACAUAGCAACUUGUUAUUCUUUAUGUGAGGUUAGUUUGACUGCUUUAGAUAAUAAAACUUACUGAUGUUUGUGAGACGAACGAACUGAGGAGACUAGCGUUGAAAAUUCCGAAAGAAACAAAUUGUUUUUUUCGGUGAAAAAAACGUCAGUUCGUUUUUUACCGUUUUAUUUGUUUGUUACAUUGAAAUAUAUCAGAAAAAAACCUUAGGAAAAAAACGGGUAUUUAAUUAAUUUUCGCCGUUUAAUUCGACAAAUUAGAAAAAAACGAUUGAAAAAAACAAGUUUUUAUCACCAAAUUUUUAAAACAAUAAUGCAUAUUGUAUUUCUAUCUUGCUCACAAAUCAGAUACAAAGUCACUGUCGCUUUCUGAAGAAUCAGUAUUACAAGGCUCAAAUUCAAAAGAUUUAGAUUGCAUUAAAUGUAAAUUUGAUCUAACGUAUACUAGCACGUGAAUUGUUAAAAUUAUUCAAUAAGACUGAAAAGUACCUAACUACUAAAAUUAGGUUGCAGUAAUGCGUGCGUGACAUGAACUAAGUAUCUGUGGGUCGGUAUGAGCGUAUGACAACAAAACAAGAAAAAAAACAUUCGACCCUCCUAUAUAUAAUAAAAAUAUUCUUCUAAAAACAUUAAUACUUUUCCGUUUCUUUCAUAUUUUUCCGGUUUUUUUCGUUUUAUUCAUAAAAAACAUGAAAUAUUUCAUAUUUAUUUUUCUUGAAACUUUCGAAUAAAACUUGUAUAAAAACGAAAGAAUUUGAAAAAAACGGGAAAAAUUCCCGCUUUUUUCAACGCUAGAGGAGACUGGUACCGAGACAAACCGUAUUGUGGUUUAACGGUAUCAGUGGUUUAAAAAAAAAGUUUGACAACCUAGUCAAAUGAGAUACUUUUUACGAAAUGUCAAAACGAAAAUUUUCUUUGGAGUUUAUAUGGAAAUAAUGUCCUGUGACGUCAUCAAUAAAAGCGGUCAAACGUCGUACUCAUUUUUACUUAAUUCAUAAAUAAAAUUAGAAAUUAAGUCGAAAAGUAAAAUGAGAUUGAUUUUUGAUCAUCUUAGACUGGCUUCUAUAUUUAGAUUAGCAUUUUAUAAUUUAUCUUUGACCUAGCCAAAUACCCUGUUAUUUUUAUAUAUGCAUGUAUCAUUGCGUUAUAUUUUUGAAAGUUUAUUUAUUUAUUUGUUUGUACACAAUAAAACAGACACAAGAAACAUACAAAGAAAACAGAUAGUACAGGCAAGCUUAUCUCUAAACAAAGAGAUUUCUUCCAGCUGACCUACGUGACAAGAGAGACUUUCAACGUAUAAUAUUAUAUAGAUAGACAUACAUACGCGUACAAAAUAUUUAGAAUUACUUAUACUAAUAUAAAACAAAAUAUUAACCUAAACCUACAAACCACAUUUAAAUAAAUUAUAUAUUAUAUAUAUUUCAUAAAUAUAUUAUAAUAAUUUAUGUACCUGAGUAAGGAGAAAAUAGAUAAUUAUCACGUUAAAUCUGGACAGCGCCAUCUAUAUUAUCUUCGGGGAAGGUAGCCUGGAAAGUCCCUUAUUGAUUGAAGAAUUUCGUGUUAUGGUGAUUGAGAGCGAGUAUCAAAGCUGGCACAGCCAUCGUUAAUAGGUGCUUGAGUAAAACUCAACAUAAUAAAUAUAAUAACCUAUAAAACGUAGCAUAAUUAGAGUGCAUAUCUCUCGUCUCUUUCGCGCUAGACGAUGUAUUAUAUCUCUGUCCUGCUUUCAUUCUAUUCAUGAUACGUUUUGUAAGGCAUAGUCAUAUGACACGAUCACAAUACAAUUAUAUAAGUAAUGGAUGUGAUUAGUGGUGUACCGUUCUCGGAAUGUUCCCAAAGUGGGAAAAACUGUAAUAGUAAAGACACUGGGCCUGUGCCCAGCAGUGGGACGUAUAUGGACUGUUUAUGUAGGUAUGUCUGUAGUAAAGACACUGGCUGCUUUUCUUACUUUAGAACCCUGUCGCACUAUCAUAUUUGACGUUGUAUAUUUGUUGUUGUGUAUACAUAUGUAUACACUUUGAAACCAUUUCACAUUAACUUUUGUGACAAAUUAAGCCGAAAGUCUCGUUAAACGUCAAAUAUGAUAGUGCGACAGGGUUCUAAAGUGGGUACAUGGAAUUGCUUAUGACUGUACUCUGUUCUUAUCUGUCUAAAGCAGUGGUUCCUAACCUGGGGGUAAUUACCCCCUCAGGGGUAAAACGGAAAUUCUAGGGGGGGUAACACGGGAUGGCACGAAAUAGUAUUAUAACUCUUGUUACUUUAAAAACAAAAGCCAGAAACCGUCUGAAUGUUGAGCAUCACAUGAGAUGCGCGUUGAGUGAAACCGAACCUAAUAUUGUCAAACUUGCGAAUGCAAAGCAAUUUCAACCUUUACACUAGUUAACUCCGUUACUAGCUACCUAAACGUGCAUUUUCUUACUUACAUAAUAAACAUAUAUUCGUUCGAAUUUGUGUGGUUUUAAUUAUUUUAAAUUAGGGGUAAACGCAAUUUCCAUACUUGUUCACAGGGGUGUGACAUUAAAAAGGUUAGGAACCACUGGUCUAAAGGCCAGGUGAUAAAAAUAUUUUUACAUAAGUUUUGUGCCUUAUUACUACGGAACGGCACGUCACUGGAUGCGAUUCUUUCAAGGUCAAACUAUCGGUUGAUUUCUCUGGUUUUAAUUGGUUUGCUUUGACAAUAAUAAUAACAAAACGUAAGCUCAGCGAGCAAUGGCGGCCCUAGGGCGCAGAAAUGGGGGGAGGCAAAAUCAACCAAGAUUGGUCCACCUGGGAACUAAAACUUCAUCGGGUUAGAUUGCGGCCACAUAAAACUUAUACCAGUUGGCCGUAAACACCAUUUUUAAAAGAUGUAGGGUGGUAUUAAACGAAUCUCGGCUGAGACUGCCCUCAAGAUCAUGCCCUUGUUGUAUUUAAGAAUAAUGAUAUACAGGGUGUUAGUGACAUCGUAACGAAAACUUUGAGGGAUGAUUGAGACCAUGAUUCUGAGAUGAUAUCAAGUGGAAUUUUCCGUCGCAAAAGUAUGGAACAGAAAAUAACUUAAAAAAAAUUUCAUGAAUUUUCCGACUGAAAAUUCCACUUCAUUUCAACUCAGAAUCAUGGUCUGAAUCAUCCCCCUCAGUAUUCUUUACGGUGUCACUAACACCCAUACCUACUUGUAUGGCUACAGUAUGUACUUGCGCGGGGUGUAAGUGACAUCGUAACGAAUACUGAGGGGGAUGAUUCAGCUGAUUAUUCUGAGUUAAUAUCAAGUGGAAUUUUUCAUCGCAAAAGUAUAGAAUUGAAAAUGAUUAAAAAAAAACUAAAAAAAAAUCAUGAAUUUUGCGACGGAAAAUUCCACUUGAUAUGAACUCAGAAUCAUGGUCUCAAUCAUCCCUCAAAGUUUUCGUUACGAUGUCACUAACACCCUGUAUACAAAAAAAAUCAACAAUGAUUGACCUUGAAAGAAUAGUGCAUUUAUUUUUGAGAAUGCUGAACUUAUUGCAUUUUGAUGUUCAUAGUGCUGAUUUUAGCAGACACUUGUCAUUUUCUUAUCCGCCGAAAAGGAAAGAGACGGAUGAUUGACAGCUGUUAAUUUUAAAAUUAAUUAAUAACCCGGGCGAAUCAAAUAGGCCUCUCUGUCAAGCAACCCAUUUGACAUGUUCCGUCAACUUAAUUCUGUCGGCCUAAACGUAAAAUUUUAAAAAAAGUUGGUUAAUAUUUCUGUCUUAAAGUGACGUGUGGUGUGUCCCAUAAAGUUUAGCCUAACAAUUACCCGUCCCUUUCCUUUUCGAUAUAUAAGAGAAUGACAGGUACAACUUUAUAAGAGGAGAGGUGUCUACUGUAAUCACCACUAAAUUGUGUUAAGAUAUUUUAGUCUUCCUUAUAAUAAUUGCUUUACUUUUAUUUUUGUAAAUAAACUAUGAAUUUUUUUAGA
rnacentral:misc_RNA from 1 species